rnacentral:rRNA from 1 species
UACAGAGGGUGCAAGCGUUGUUCGGAAUUAUUGGGCGUAAAGGGCGCGUAGGCGGUGCGGUAAGUCUGUAGUGAAAUCUCUGGGCUCAACUCAGAGUCUGCUGCAGAAACUGCCGUGCUUGAGUGUGGGAGAGGUGAGUGGAAUUCCCGGUGUAGCGGCGAAAUGCGUAGAUAUCGGGAGGAACACCUGUGGCGAAAGCGGCUCACUGGACCACAACUGACGCUGAGGCGCGAAAGCUAGGGGAGCAAACAGG